rnacentral:rRNA from 1 species
GACGAACGCUGGCGGCGUGCCUAAUACAUGCAAGUAGAACGCUGAAGAGAGGAGCUUGCUCUUCUUGGAUGAGUUGCGCACGGGUGAGUAACGCGUAGGUAACCUGCCUUGUAGCGGGGGAUAACUAUUGGAAACGAUAGCUAAUACCGCAUAACAAUGGAUGACACAUGUCAUUUAUUUGAAAGGGGCAAUUGCUCCACUACAAGAUGGACCUGCGUUGUAUUAGCUAGUAGGUGAGGUAAUGGCCCACCUAGGCGACGAUACAUAGCCGACCUGAGAGGGUGAUCGGCCACACUGGGACUGAGACACGGCCCAGACUCCUACGGGAGGCAGCAGUAGGGAAUCUUCGGCAAUGGGGGCAACCCUGACCGAGCAACGCCGCGUGAGUGAAGAAGGUAUUCGGAUCGUAAAGCUCUGUUGUAAGUCAAGAACGGGUGUGAGAGUGGAAAGUUCACACUGUGACGGUAGCUUACCAGAAAGGGACGGCUAACUACGU